rnacentral:tRNA from 1 species
CCUGGUGUCUCAGACAGUAAAGAAUCUGCCUGCAGUGCAGAAGAUCCAGGUUCAGUCCCUGGGUCAGGA